rnacentral:rRNA from 1 species
ACGGGGUGCAGCAGGCGCGAAAACUUUACAAUGCGGGAAACCGCGAUAAGGGGACACCGAGUGCCAGCAUUUAUGUUGGCUGUCCACAUGUGUAAACUGCAUGUGUUAGCAAGGGCCGGGCAAGACCGGUGCCAGCCGCCGCGGUAACACCGGCGGCCCGAGUGGUAAUCACUUUUAUUGGGUCUAAAGGGUCCGUAGCCGGUUUGAUCAGUUCUUCGGGAAAUCUGACAGCUCAACUGUUAGGCUUCCGGGGAAUACUGUCAGACUUGGGACCGGGAGAGGUAAGAGGUACUACAGGGGUAGGAGUGAAAUCUUGUAAUCCCUGUGGGACCACCAGUGGCGAAGGCGUCUUACCAGAACGGGUCCGACGGUGAGGGACGAAAGCUGGGGGCACGAACCGGAUUAGAUACCCGGGUAGUCCCAGCCGUAAACGAUGUUCGCUAGGUGUCAGGGGCGGUGCGACCGCUUCUGGUGCCGUAGGGAAGCCGUGAAGCGAACCACCUGGGAAGUACGGCCGCAAGGCUGAAACUUAAAGGAAUUGGCGGGGGAGCAC